rnacentral:rRNA from 1 species
CAGCCUUCUAGGCAGUUACUGACACUCAGGAGCGAAGGUGUGGGGCGCAAACAGGAUUAGAUAUCCUGGUAGUCCACAUAGUCAACGAUGAUCACUAGGUUUUGGUGGGAUUAAAAUCAUCAGAGCUAAAGCAAAUGUAUUAAGUGAUCCGCCUGGGGAGUACGUCCGCAAGGAUGAAACUCAAAGGAAUUGACGGGGACCCGCACAAGCGGUGGAGCAUGUUCUUUAAUUCGAUGCAACACGAAGAACCUUACCUGGGAUUGACAUCCGUGGAACCGCUAUGAAAGUAGCGAGUGCUCACUUUGUGAGAACCACGUGACAGGUACUGCAUGGCUGUCGUCAGUUCGUGUCGUAAGAUGUUGGGUUAAGUCCCGUAACGAACGCAACCCCUGUCUUUAGUUGCCAGCAUUAAGUUGGGGACUCUAGAGAGACUGCCAAGGUGACAACUUGGAGGAAGGUGGGGAUGACGUCAAGUCCAUAUGGUCCUUACAUCCAGGGCGAGAAACGUGCUACAAUGGUUGGUACAAUGGGGAGCAAAAUCGCAAGAUUGAGCAAAUCCUCAAAACUAAUCUCAGUUCGGAUUGGAGUCUGCAACCCGACUCCAUGAAGUUGGAAUCGCGUAGUAAUCGCGGAUCAGCAUGCCGCGGUG